rnacentral:lncRNA from 1 species
UGGCAGUGGGUCACGUGGUGCUGCGUGCGCACGGAGGCGCAGGGCGGCCCGGUCACUGAGUGCGCAGGCGCCGUGGGCCUCGCCCUGCCCCGCGGCGGGAACGCGGCCGUGAGGGUGUGGGGUGUAGGUCCGCCAGGCCUGCAACGGCUGCCGAGGGUCGUGGGAUGCGCUCGCCGCGUCCCUGCUCAGGCGGAGGGAGCCCGGCCCGCCGCCAGGGUCUCGAGUCCGGGUCCAGGCAGGCGUGGAGGUGGCGGGAACGGCGCACCGCCCGGGAGUAUGACAACUUUUCAACUUGAGUGCACACACUGUCCCCGGAAUCCCGCGUUCCAGGGAGGAAGCGCCUUUGACAGCGCGCGCCGGUUCGUGGGGCCCGACGGCGUGGGCCUGUGGUUGCGGACCUGGCGGAGAUGCGCGUUCGCUUCGAUUGUAGGCCAUUCCUUUUAGGAGCUGAGAAAGGAUCCGUUUUUACAGCAUUCUCGACCUGUGAUUCUUGGUGGGGGAAACUAGUUAUGUGGAUAAAAAUACAGUUAGCAAAAUAAAAAUGCCAAUUUUACAUUUCCUUAAAUA